rnacentral:misc_RNA from 1 species
CUGAAUGUGUCUUUAAGGAAGCUUACUCAACUGUUCUAUGCUCUUUUCACCUUGUUUUGGAGCUUGCUAAACUUUGAUAUUUUCUCUCCUUUUUACUGCCUAUGUGUUGCCCAUGAUGUAUAGAAUACGUUUAAUGAAGACACUUGUAAGAAAUCAUGGCUUGAUCAUGUACCAUUGGAGCUAUUGCAUGGACGACAAUCAUGGACUUUAGGGAGAAAAUGGAAUUUGGCAUUUGAUGAAGAUUUGAGG